rnacentral:tRNA from 1 species
GGUGUAGCGCAGUUGGUAGCGCGCUUGGUUCGGGACCAAGAGGCCGUGGGUUCAAAUCCCGCCACU